rnacentral:rRNA from 1 species
UGUCCCAGCCGCCGCGGUAAUACGUAGGUGGCGAGCGUUGUCCGGAAUUACUGGGCGUAAAGGGCGAGUAGGCGGCUAGGCAAGUCAGAUGUGAAAGGCUAGGGCUCAACCUUAGCAUUGCAUUUGAAACUGCUUAGCUUGAGUGCAGGAGAGGAAAGUGGAAUUCCCAGUGUAGCGGUGAAAUGCGUAGAUAUUGGGAGGAACAUCAGUGGCGAAGGCGACUUUCUGGCCUGUAACUGACGCUGAGGCGCGAAAGCGUGGGGAGCAAACAGGAUUAGAUACCCUGGUAGUCCACGCCGUAAACGAUGGAUGCUAGGUGUGGGAGGUAUCGACCCCUUCCGUGCCGUAGUUAACGCAAUAAGCAUCCCGCCUGGGGAGUACGGUCGCAAGACUGAAACUCAAAGGAAUUGACGGGGGCCCGCACAAGCAGCGGAGCGUGUGGUUUAAUUCGAAGCAACGCGAAGAACCUUACCAAGGCUUGACAUCCCUCGCUAUCCACAGAGAUGUGGAGUUCCCUUUUGGGACGAGGAGACAGGUGGUGCACGGUUGUCGUCAGCUCGUGUCGUGAGAUGUUGGGUUAAGUCCCGCAACGAGCGCAACCCUUGUCCUUAGUUGCCAGCAUUAAGUUGGGCACUCUAGGGAGACUGCCGGUGACAAACCGGAGGAAGGUGGGGAUGACGUCAAAUCAUCAUGCCCCUUAUGUCUUGGGCUACACACGCGCUACAAUGGUCUGUACAGAGGGAAGCAAGACCGCGAGGUGGAGCAAAUCCCAUAAAACAGAUCUCAGUUCAGAUUGCAGGCUGCAACUCGCCUGCAUGAAGUCGGAGUUGCUAGUAAUCGCGGAUCAGAACGCCGCGGUGAAUGCGUUCCCGGGCCUUGUACACACCGCCCGUCACACCACGAAAGUCAGCAACACCCAAAGUCGGUGAGCUAACCGGAAGGGAGCAGCCGCCUAAGGUGGGGUUGAUGAUUGGGGUGAAGUCGUAACAAGGUAACCA